rnacentral:rRNA from 1 species
UACGGAGGGUGCAAGCGUUAUCCGGAUUCACUGGGUUUAAAGGGAGCGUAGGUGGGCUGGUAAGUCAGUGGUGAAAUCUCCGGGCUUAACUCGGAAACUGCCAUUGAUACUAUCUGUCUUGAAUAUUGUGGAGGUGAGCGGAAUAUGUCAUGUAGCGGUGAAAUGCUUAGAUAUGACAUAGAACACCAAUUGCGAAGGCAGCUCGCUACACAAAUAUUGACUCUGAGGCACGAAAGCGUGGGGAUCAAACAGG